UACAGAGGUGGCAAGCGUUGUCCGGAUUUACUGGGCGUAAAGAGCGUGUAGGCGGCCAAGCAGGUCCGUUGUGAAAACUGGAGGCUUAACCUCCAGACGUCGACGGAAACCGCGUGGCUAGAGUCCGGAAGAGGAGAGUGGAAUUCCUGGUGUAGCGGUGAAAUGCGCAGAUAUCAGGAAGAACACCAAUGGCGAAGGCAGCUCUCUGGGACGGUACUGACGCUGAGACGCGAAAGCGUGGGGAGCGAACAGG
rnacentral:rRNA from 1 species